GGUCGAUGAUGGUGUUUCAAGACGGGGAUGACUUGUGGUUGAUUAUAAUUGUCACAAUUUCUGAGACC
rnacentral:snoRNA from 1 species